rnacentral:rRNA from 1 species
UACGUAGGGUGCGAGCGUUAAUCGGAAUUACUGGGCGUAAAGCGUGCGCAGGCGGUUUUGUAAGCCUGUUGUGAAAUCCCCGGGCUUAACCUGGGAAUGGCAUUUGGGACUGCAAGGCUGGAGUGCGGCAGAGGAGACUGGAAUUCCUGGUGUAGCAGUGAAAUGCGUAGAUAUCAGGAGGAAUACCGAUGGCGAAGGCAGGUCUCUGGGCUGACACUGACGCUCAUGCACGAAAGCGUGGGGAGCAAACAGG